GACUGGGAUUCCAGUUUGACAGAUAGGCUGCUGGGUGGCCCUGACUGCGGUCAGUCAGGCAGGUCAAUUACGGUGAGGACCAGGGUUUCGUCAAGGACUGAGAAGACUCUUAGAAAGACUGGCGGCCGUGACCUUUAGGAAGGCAGGUUUUUAUGGACUGGAGAGAGGCUGAAGCAGAAUGCAGGGAGCUCAGUUGUGAAUAAGGAAGUAGUCCCAGAUUGGAAAGCACCCAAGUGGCUAACAAUCAGACCCCGACUGAACAGCUACAGCACCAUCGCCAGAAGAAGCGACUCUGUGUCCACACACAGACGGGCUUCCCAAAUUAGGUGACGUAAAGCAUUGGAAGACACAAAAUGGCAUUUACAGCGAUUACAAUGAUGAAAGGGCCUGCGUGUGCUGCGAGCCCCGGAGAAGCCGGAGAAGAUGGAGCCCUGCUUGCGGAGGCUGAGUUAAAGUCUCCGGAUCUUCUUUUUUUGGAAGGGUGUCCACUGGCAAACAAAACCACGCAGUGUUUCUUUAAAAUAAAAGUAGCCGGCGAGGAAACGGAGCCAGCGAGUGGAGGCCACUCAAAAGACAGUGACAGCGUGAGUACCACCGGCAGAGGACAACCUAUAGUAGCUGUUUUCCUCCGCUCCCCACACGGGCCCUGGGAACUGAAUUCAUUUGUCAGGUGCUGGGAAGGAAAUCCAGGCUGAGCUGGCUAAGUAACACCCUGCCACAGAGCUACAUUCCCAAGCCCAGAAUCUCCCAGCAGAGCCCUGGGUGGUGGUCCUGAAGGGCUCCUGCCAGCCAAGCCUUUUGUCUUUGUGUAUGUGAGUAUUCCUGUAAGCAUUAUUUCUCACUUUAUAUUUGUGUUUGUUUGUCUUUGUGACUUUUUUUUAAAACAUUAGCAGGAACAUUUGCUGCCCCGAGUUGAGCAAUGUCUCUCUAACACGUGACUGUGGGUCCCUUUUCAGUGCUGCAGUGGGGUUAGCUCUGUGCUUCUGACUCAUUGCCAGGUAUCCCACGGCACAGGAAGUGAAGGGCAAACCCCAGAGAAGACAGGGGCAUCUCUUUUCCCAGGGCUGGGGGAUUCGAUGAGAGUAAAGUGGACAGGCAGCAUUUUGUUGAGAAGGACAGGCCAGGUGGGCAAAAACAGACAAGGAGGGCCUCCUCUCUGCUCUCUCUCUCUCACUCUGUGUGUGUGUGUGUAUGUGUGUUUGAAUGCCACAGCAUGGCUGUCAAAGCAACAUGUGGAAAUCCCUUCUCUGCUCACAUCCCGUGGGUCCUGAUGAUCAAACUCAGGCAGUAAGGCUUUGCAGCUAGUGUCUUUACUGCCAUCUCGCAUACCCAGGCUAGAUGGGAAUUGACUAUGUAGCUGAGGGUAGCCUUGAACUCUCGAUCUUCCUGUACCAAUGCAGCCUCUAUCUUCUCUUAAGCCAAUUUCCCCAUCUGAGUUCCUGCUGCAGCCCCUCCUCCUCGAGUGGUCUGUUCUCAUCCCUUAAGAGUAGCCUAGGAUGGAGGUUGAAUGCGGUUCCUAUACCAGCCUGCGUAGCAUUAUCCAUCAGCCAGGGAACAACCUGGAAAUGCGACUCAUGGGGCCCGCUUCAGUCCCUCAGUGUCACACUCUCAGUUGAGUUCCGAGGCCCUCUAGCCCAUGAAGGUACAAGCUCAACUUUGAGAAUCAUUAUUCUAGCAUAUGCUUCCGGGUCUGAUUCCUUCACCAUCCACUCAUGUGUCCAUUCUCUUAGGUGACCAGGAGGAAGCCUGGGAGAGAUGGUUAUUCAACUGCAUAACUGGCCUUCAGUGCCUGGAGGGAAAAUCAGAGACCUAUGCCAUCCCUCCCUAGGACAUUCCCAUCUCUCCAUCCACUCGGAAUAAACGGGAGUAUGGCAGGGGAACACUGUCCUUGAACAGGCAGCACAGCAGAGGUCUGGGAGAUGGCUCCGAGGGUAAGGGACCAAGCAAGGUCACCUGCGCUCACUCCCUGGAACCCACACAGUGGACAAGAGAGAAAGACUCUAUGGCCUCCACGUGCGUGCGUGCGUGCUGUGGUGUGCACGUGCCCCUCCCCCAAAUAAAGAAAACUUAACGAAAAAAAAUUAAAAGUAAAAAAACAGCACUGCAGUAGCUCCAGGAGUCAACUGGUCAAUCAGUGUAUCACAUUUGACUAUCCGAUGAUGGUUUUAUUUUACAUGUAUGCACGUGUUUGCAUGUAUGUGGGUGCACAUGUACAAACACAUGUGCCAAGGCCAAAGGACAACUUUGGGUGUCCUUUCUCAGGAGCCAUCGACCUUAUUUUCUGAGACAGGGCCUCUCACUGGAAUCUGACUGGCCAGCAGCCUCCCAAGGAUGCUCCCCAACCUCAGAAGGAUGCGCCUGUCUCUGCCUCCCAGCCCCGGGGGUUACACUGGUGGACCACUGGGCUCUUUUCACCUGGGUGCUGAUGUUGGAAUGCUGGUCUUCAUUGUGAGUGGCAGACACUUUACUGACUGAGCCACUGUGUAUUUGUUGGCGUGUCCCUUAGAAGGUGCUGACACACUGGGGCAGUAUGGAUGCCUCCUCUGGGGAAGGCAAGGAUGGUUUGUGUACCUCUAAGACUGUUGAACUAACCCGGAAAAGGAAGAAGGCAGUGACCACCUAGUAUCUGCCUACCAGCCCAAUUCUGAUUCUGAAUGGGAAUCACCAAGGCCUCCUGCAGAGGCAGACAGCAGAAGACGUGUUGUUGUUGUCCUUGGUGUAAAACGAGCUGUUGGCAGACACAGGGUGCUCACAGCUUCAGAAACCUUAGACGGGAGAGCAGUGAAUAUUCUCGCUGCUCAUGGGCACUGAGAUGUCUUAUACCAGUAACUCAACCAGGAGUCACCUGACAACGGAGGGGCACGCUGGUCCUUCCCCAACAGAGAUAAAAAGAUGCUGCUAGAGGAAUUACUGCUCUUGUUUAUUUGUUUGAGUGGAUGGAUAGAUGGUUGGUUCGGUUCAGGUUUGAGUUUUUGUUGUUUGUUUGUUUGUUUGUUUGUUUGUUUGUUUGUUUUGAAUUUGAGAAAGGUUCUCUGUAUUUAGCCCAGGCUGGCCUGAAUCCCUCGAGAACCUUUUGCCUCUGCUUCCCACGUGCUAAGAGUCCAGGUGUGCAGCACCGUGUUCAGCUUCGUGAAGAUGUUUAGAACUCGCUCCAGUAUCUGUGUGUGUGUGUGUAUAUGUGUGUGUGUGUGUGUGUGUGUGUGUGUGUGUGUGUGUGUAUGUGUGUGUAUAUAUAUAUAUAUGUAUAUGUGUGUGUGUGUGUGUGCGUGUAUAUAUAUAUAGUCACAGCUAAAAAUGAAGGGGAGCAUUAUUACCCUUGUUGAGAAGAGAGCAGCCUGAGGAACAUGGGAGAGGACCCCCAACACACACACCCCAAGAGUAGUCAUUCCCCUAAAGAGAUAGCAUGGCUGAGCAGAGGGUCUACAUACAAGGAAACAUGGGCUCGAGCUAGGAAACCGAGGUUAAGGGUGGGAUGGACUGCAUCUCCGGGUGGAAAAAUGAGGUAGAGGCUGUUACAGAUUUCUCCCUAAAGCUCCGUGGAGGCUUCAAUCCUAGAUCUCAGAAUGUGGCCGUAUCUGGAAGCAGGGCGACUACAGGUAUCAUUAAGAGGAGCCAGUACUGGAUGGAGCAGAACAGGCCCUAGAUCUGAUAUGAGCGGUGGAAGACACAGAGACGGCCGAAGACAGACGCAGAGAGUGGAGCAAUCCAGCUACAGAGCUCAGAAGUGCCUGAGGCCGCAGGAAGAUGGGAGAGACAGAGGACUCCUGCUCCCCAGAAGCUUCCCGGGGCCUGCUGUCCUGCUAGCACUUUGUUAUCAGGCUUCUGGCUGAUGGAGCUGGGAGAAGGGGCUCCAUUCACCUGGUUCCACACAGUUUUCAAGUAUCUGUGUGUGAAUGUCCCGAAAAUAAACACAGGAAUUAGCACCCAUGUCCCUGGAGGAGCCUCUUCUAUAGGGAAAUGGAGGCUGAGACGAAGACCAAACUCCAUUUCAGAGCACAUCUCAGCUCACUGUUAAAGACAUGUUGUUUUGAAGUUCUCUGCCUGGGUGCUGGAGACUAGCACAGUUGAUAGGAUGCUUGCAUAAUGAAGUCCUGGGUUCAAUCCCCAGCACCAGUGGAGAAGUCUCUAUUGGGAGGGGAUAGAGGCAAGGCAGGAAGACUGGAAGUUCAAGGCCAACCUCAGCUACAUUUGAGGCCAGCCUGGUCCUACAAAGAUGGCUCAGGAGGUAAAAGUUUUUGCUGCCAAGCCUGGCUACCUGAGUUUGGUUGUCAGAGACCCACAUGGUAGAAGGAGAGAAGCUGUGAAAAGUAUUCUUCUGAUCUCCAUAUGUGCUCUGUGCUAUGCAUGCAUGCGCUUACACACACACACACACACACUGCUACACACAAAUAAAUGUUAAAAGAUGUUUUUUAAUGGUCUUUGCCUGUACUUGCACAGGACUGGAGUCUGGGUCCCAGCACCCACAUCAGAGAGCUCACAGCCGCCUCGAGCUGUGAGCUGUGUGUCUGGCUUCUGAGAGCACCUGUUCUCACAUGCUCAUACCCACACACAAGCACAUACCCAAAGACCCAUACCGAGAUAUUUACAGAGUGUUUGUCUAACAUGUAUGAUGCCCCAUGUUACAUCCCACAUACAAAAAGAAAAGAAAAACCUGACAUCAUAAAAAACACACACCUUUAUUCCCAGUACUCAGGAGGCAGAGGCAGGUGGAUCUCAAGGCCAGCCUGGUCUACAGAGUGAGUUCUAGGACAGCCAGGGUUACACAGAGAAACCGUGUCUCAAAAUAAACAAGUAAAAUAAAAAAUAAAACAAACUAACCAGUACCCCAGAGCUCUUGACUCUAGCUGCAUGUAUCAAAAGAUGGCCUACUCCUCGGCCAUCACUGGAAAGAGAGGCCCAUUGGACUUGCAAACUUUAUAUGCCCCAGUACAGGGGAACGCCAGGGUCAAAAAGGGGGAGUGGGUGGGUAGGGGAGUGGGGGGGAGGGGAGUGGGUGGGUAGGGGAGUGGGGGGGAGGGUAUGGGGGACUUUUGGGAUAGCAUUGGAAAUGUAAAUGAGGAAAAUACCUAAUAAAAAAUAUUAAAAAAAUAAAUAAAACAAGACAAACACAAGGACCAUUCCAAGUUGAAGAAGAAACAGAGACAGGAUAAAUGAACAUGGACCUGGACUUUAAAGUAGACACUGGCAACACAUGGAUGUUAUGAUCCUGCCUUUUAUCAUUCUAUGAUUCAUAUACAUAUGUGUGUGUGUGUGUAUAUAAUAUAUAUGAUAUAUAUGCAAAAAAUGAGUAUAUAUGCAUACAUACACCAGAAUGGUAAACAAUGUAAAUUGGUCUGGAAAGAUGGUUCCCUGGUGAAUCCUUUGCCGCCAAGUGUAAGGGUUACCUGAAUUUGG